rnacentral:rRNA from 1 species
UACAGGGGGUGCAAACGUUAUUCGGAAUUAUUGGGCGUAAAGGGCGCGUAGGCGGCCCGGCAAGUGGAAGGUGAAAUCCCUCGGCUCAACCGAGGAACUGCCUUCCAAACUGCCUGGGCUUGAGUCCGGGAGAGGUGAGUGGAAUUCCCAGUGUAGCGGUGAAAUGCGUAGAUAUUGGGAGGAACACCAGUGGCGAAGGCGGCUCACUGGACCGGAACUGACGCUGAGGCGCGAAAGCGUGGGGAGCAAACGGG